UUCCCAUCUCGUCUAUGGAUCAAUUUUUACGGUAGAGAUUGAUAGAUAUUUGAUUAGUACGUGUGUCAGGGGUUAUGGGGAGAAGGCAGGAGAAUGGAUUUGAGAGAAAAAGAUAGAUCGGCCAUGAAAAAAAGGCAGAGUAGACUU